UGUGGCUUAUGUGUACCUCAGACUCACAAUCCUCCUGCCUCAACCCCCCAAGUGCUAGGAUUACUGCGUUCAGCACACCUAACUUGUAUUUGUAUCCUUUUUAAGAUUUAUUUUAUUUUCAUGUAUGUGAGUACACUGUAGUUGUCUUCAGACACACCUGAAGAGGGCAUCGGAUUCCAUUACAAAUGGUUGUGAGCCACCAUGUGGUUGCUGGGAAUUGAACUCAGGACCUCUGGAAGAGCAGCCAGCGCUCUUAACCUCUGAGCCGUCUCUCCAGCCGCCCUUGUGUUUGUAUUUUUGUAUUUUCUUUCUGGCUGCUGCCUCCCUUUUUCUGUGCCCUUUCCCCUUUGCCCUUCCCACCCUCAGUCUCAACAUUCCCUCUUCUUCCCCCUCGUCUUUCUUACCGUUUCUUCUUUCUUUUCUUCCUGUGUCUCCCUAAGUCUGAACAAAGUUCUCUCUCACAUCCCAAACCUGCUCCUACCUCCUUUCUACCCCAGUUCCCAAUACCCCCUCCUCAACUGUACCCUGUGGUGUUUUGAGCAGGAAAGUCCUUCAUAGGCUCUGGUAUUUGAACACUUUGUCCCCAGUUGGUGGCGCUGUUGGGUAUGUUUAGGAGACCGAGACGUUGGUGGAGGCAGUGUCCCUGGGGGUGGGCUUUGCUUAUGACUUUGCCCUCCUCCUACUUUGCUCCGUCUGCCUUGUGGUUUUGGUUGAGGCAAUGAGCUCUCACACAAGAGCUGCCCGGGAUCAAGAUAGUAGACACUCCAGCAUGAAUAGAGAGACUUAUAAGAUCUCACCCCAUCUGAGGAGCUAUCGAAGGCUGCUGGUGAAGGGAGAGACGCCCCCCCUCUGGGGGUGUGGCCAAUGUGACCUGCAGGUCAUCCUCGGAGCCCACCCACCCCAUCUCAUCCUCUUGGGGCCUUCUCAGGUUCGAUGCAGGCUCUUGGUACAUCCAGGGCAAGGGCGACGGAAGGAUGGAGGACUUCAGACAAAGGAUGAGGGAUCGGUAUGGCUGAAGAGGAGAGAGCGGAGCCGCAAGUCAGACAGCUGAGCCGUGACUACUACUUCAGGACGUCAUUUGAGGGAAACCCUUACGGGGUUGGGGAUUUAACUCAGUGGUAGAGUGCUUGUCUAGCAAGCGCAAGGCCCUGGGUUUGGUCCCCAGCUCCGAAAAAAGAAAAAGAAGGAAAAAAAGAAAAAAAAACAAAACCCUUGCAUUGUUCAUAUUUUAACAAAUAUGUAAAGUUUACGACAUUACAGUGUACAGAUCUUGAGUAUUGAUAAAUUUUAAUG
ensembl:lncRNA